GGAGUUCUCUUAAGAUUCUAGAUCAUCAACUUGUCAUUGCCAGACCACCAUCAUCAUGGAGGCUUGAUUCUCGUGUUCUUCAUCCGGUUCUCGGCCAUUUUGAGAGUGUCACUUUGCCUCUUCUCUUCCUUGGCUCGUUUCAAAUUCUCUUUCAUUUCCCUCUCCUUUCGAGUUUUCGGGUUGUCACCAGCAAGAGCCGCAGUCACAUUUUCUUUGAAAAGUUUCUGGAGAUCCCGCUGAAACCCUUCAUAAGCAUGAAAGCUGCAGUACUCUUCCUUGUUCACCUUCCUGUACAUAACUUUCUUCGCAAGAGCAAGUCACUAGCUUCUUUCUUGCGAGCAAGGCAAGUUCAGCUUCUUCAGCUCCAGUUGGUGCUUUAGCAGCCAUACUUUUCUUCUUAUUCCCGCUAGAAGCUUCUUUUUUUCUUGUCGGCAGUUUUUUUCUUUUUUAAGACUUACAACAUGGGAAAAAGAAGAGAGACUGUCAAAUCUACUAAAGACCAAGGGAAAUUAGCAGAGCUGAUGAAUGAUAAUUUAGAGAUAAGAUGGUAAAGUGAACCUUAGGAAGAUCAGAAGAUUUAGCAUCAGGAUGAUGAGAGGAUUUGAC